GGAGCUAAAGCUCAGCGGCAUAAGCGCCUGCCUUAUAAGCAGGUGGUCGUGAGUUCGAUCCCUGGUACCG
rnacentral:tRNA from 1 species